GCUACUCAUCAAUCGCAAUUCGAUAACUGUCUGUGGAUGGGAAAUUAGUAUUGCUCGCGUACCAAGUCGCUCGAUCCGUUUGUGUAACAUGCUGCAUAUAUUAUAUCUAUAUCGUUCUUCUUAUCAGAAGCGGCUGAUGGCAUCGAAUCUAUGCGCUGCGGUGUAGGUGGUGCGCAACCCUGCAUGUCUCCCGGUUCCCAUUUCGUAAGAAAGUUCGACAACAACAAGCCAUAUCGCGGGCCUGCCCAAAACGGAUGACAAACGCUAGCGCGCGUCCUCGACAAGGUCGCGGACACUGCAAUUAGACCAGACCGUACGCUCACCGUAGAUAAGCAAUGUUUUGUUUAGCGAGCUGUAAUGGUGGUCAAAGAAUAGACCACGGUAGACAAGCCGACCGUACAGCACAAGAUCUGUUGUCCAGUCCAACCUGCUAACACGAAUAAGAGUUAGAGCUGUUUUCUGUUUUGAAACAUGUUAAUUACACGCGCGAGGUAACGCGAGUUGGGUAGAAUGAAUGUGUGUCCGUCGCUGGGAAGACUGACAACCAGUAAGCGCUUUUAAUCCUGCCGUGCCAAAGGAAAACUCCAAACAGAACUACAUCGAUACGAACCGGCCUGUGUUCUCCCCCCAAAGUGCCUGUAUAAUCCGUUUCGUUUCUUAUUCUUGUGCAAGGAGGGCAGCUUCAUCCAAACCCGACACCAGUCUCCAGGCCACACGGCAGGUUUCGGAAGGUGGCGGCACAUUCUAACUUGCCAGGCAGGCCGGUUUCUCCUUGCGGCAACAUAGUUUCGCAUAUAGUGUCCCGUGCACCAGCUGUCCGUAUUCUCGAAAAGCCGGUUACGGUCGCUAUCACUUGUUGUGUCCACCUGCCAUCGAUACGGCUAGAGAUAUCGCCGCAGCAUAGCCCACCGUUCGCUCGGGCACACCGCGUGUCCAGAGGAUUAAGAUCAAUUUAUCACAAUCCUUCAACCGCCGAACUGUGUUCGUGUGUCAGACAUGCAAAAGUGUACGGUCGGGAGGGGAAGGAAUUUACGGCACACUCGAACGUGUUCGCUGGGUGUCUGCAUGGGCCUUGUUUAACUACACUUUAUGGUACUCCUGUGCGGGAAUUGGGCGAAAUAGGUGCAUAUGAGAGUGUUCGAAGUAGUUAACACGAGGAGAUUAUAAUCAGAGCUAGGGCUGUCUGAUAGAACACCGAGCUGUAUGACAUUUCAAUGAUAGAAUUAUUUCUAUCCAUAAAUGGCUAAAAGGCUAUGAUGGUGGGUUAUUCGAUUGGAUGAAAUGGAAUUUUCGUAACUUCUAGUAAUCGAUCUACAAUAGUCCUCUAUAUCCUAAGGUCUGGUCCUAUCCCCAGCGAAAAUACUCACCAAUAAACUCGUUGCGCAUGCGUAUCCGA